UAGUAUUUUUGUACAAGUGCUGACAUCUUGUAUUCUCAUUGCCAGCAUACCUAUUACAGCCAACUUACAGACAAGGGAAAGCGGCUUAAAAUUACUACAUGGUGAGUGUGAUAAUAGAGAAUGGAUUUUCAAUUUUCAUUUAUAUGUACAUACUAAGUAGAUUUUAUCCCAGAACCUUGACUUAGAUGAUUACCAUUAGAAUGAGUAGAAGUCGGUGGGAAGCACCAGACGACAGUGGCAAGAACUCGCCCCAAGGCAAAUCCUUCCAUUCUGCACUCAAAAGUAUCAAUUAUGAAUAGUGGAUUUUGUUCAUUCAACAUUGUCUACCAGAAAUGUGAUAAAAAGGCAAUGUGCAUGCAUCCAAAGCUAGAUUGAAUUAUGAUCUAUCUUAAAAAUGACCAUUAACACAUUAGGCACCAGCACUCUCCACUUGAGUCUUUACGAGUAAAAUUGUCUCGCGUUAGACAGAGUACAAUAAUCUGGCAUUAACCCACUGAGUCGCAUUGCGCCCUGAUGCGCCCCACUUUAUUAUUUUACUCUGUCUAACGCCAAACAAUUUUACUCGUCAAGGGGAGAGUGCUAGCACUUAAUGGGUUAAAGACAUUAAUAAAAUAAGGAAGUAUUGCACAUAAGGCACAAUGCAAUUUAAUGUGUCACUAGACUGACACAUGGCCAGAUUAACCCAUUAACCACCAGGGGCCGGUUGUACGAAGGCUGGGUAGUGCUAUCCACCGGAUAAUGAUUUUCUCAAGUUUUGUUAAAUCAGUCGUUGAUUGGUGUAACUGGUAUUAAAGUUUAGUAUUUAUACAAGCAAAAUGUUUUUUUAUACUUCUUAUGUCCUUUAUAUCCGUAGGUUCACAGUUUUUCAAGCAUUUUUUCAAAGGUUGAAAAAUCACUAUCCGGUGGAUAGCGCUAUCCGGCCUUCGUACAACCGGCCCCAGCACUCUCCCACUCACAAAUAAAAUUGUCUGGCAUUAGACAGGAGUACAAUUUAUUGUAUUUAGGGUGCAAUUACUGCAAUGCAACUUAAUGGGUUAGAAUUUGAAAUUUUGCCUGUGGGACCAUGAUUUCUGGGUUAGCAUGUACUAGCCAGGAAUCACUUGGUCUAUGGGUGGAACCAUAGUGAAUCAAAUUUUUCCUACGAAAACAAAUAACUAAUUUAUGUGUAAUCAUUCAUUAUGUAGGAUCAGAUGGAGUUUACAAGGUGAUAAGGAAUUUUUCAGCAGCAAAAUCCUUUAGAUGCUUUCUAAAAUGUAAGGGUAAUGCUUGUUGGUAUUUCUGAUUUAAUUAAUAUGCUAUUGGCUCAUUCCAGAAAACGUUCAUACAUUCAUGUAUGGUUAUGAUUUCACCUCAGUUGUAUGUGAGAGGAGUGCUGCACUGACAAAUGACAGCACUGACAAGUAAAAUCAUCUGACAUUAGAUGGAGUAAAACAAUAAAGUUGUGGCAAAAUGCAGCUUAGGGACCGGUCAUUAAUAAUGGGAGGGGGGUGGUGGGUUAGAAAAGGGGGCGUCUUCAACUAUUUUUGCCUGAAUUGGGGGCGGCCUCAAACUGAAAAAUAUGUGACAGUACACUUUUUAAUACUUUCCUAUUCAUUGUCAAAAUAUUUAAUAAAACCUUCCGCAUAUGCAGUUCACCAUAGGAAUACAGUAGGAAUAAAUAACAACCAUUUUGAAUAUUGGUCCCCAGUACUUGUCCCAUUACUUAUUUACAACAAAAAAUGUAACGAACUAAAUGUUGGAGGGGGGUGGGUCCUAAGUUUUCUAGAUGAAGGUGGGGCGUCUUGAAAAUAAAGGUCUUGCGAUUGGGAGUGGCUCUAAAAAAUGUUCAAUAUUUGGUAUUUAUCACCCACAGACCACCUCCCAUUAUUAAUGACCUGUCCCUAAAUAUGCCAUACACCACAAGUUUUGUAGCCGGUGUCCGGCCUAGUGUAAUAUCCAGUUAACACCCCACAAAUUGUUGCGCCCUCCUUAAGUUACUGUAACAAGUUUACAAGAGUCAUAGGCGGAUUGUUUGGUUAGCCCACUAAUUAAUGCCCCUGGCUUUAUUCUAAAAAAAUCUGUUCAUUUUGUUUUGCAGGUCUGCGUGGGAAUUCAACAGUGCUAUAAUGUGCAGUGAAAACAUUACUUCAGGCAAACUUCUAAGAGUUACAAAGGGACAACAAUUUAUGGUAAAAUGAAAAUGAGCAUAUAUAGACAAUAUACAGUAUGGUAUAUAUUUAUAAUAAUAUAACUUUUCAUGUUUAUCUUAAUGUUUAAUAUAACUAAGUUUUGAAGUGACUUGAACUUGAAAUCAGGGAAUGCAAGACCCAAUUCCUUUGAUAAUGGUAUAUUUUGAAUAUGUAGCAAGGUUCAACAUUAUAAUAAUUGACAAGAUUUAACUUUGGUGAACAUGUGUGGUGUGUUUAACUAUUAAGUGAAUAUAUUAUUUUUAAAC